GACUUUAUAAGACUGUUGGUGAGGGCUGUGGCAAUGUCCACAUGGGUGGUAUGGGAGCUCAUGGGAGGUGAGUUCCUGGAAUAUGGCUUAUAAUAGGGUCUGUUCCCUGCUAGGAGGCCCAUACCCAUAGCUGAAUUCCCCAGGAUUUCCCCCACCUUGGGCCCAAGGCAUCAGAACUGACGCCCUGAGAGGUUUGGAUGUGUGUGUGUCUGUGGAUGUGUGGUAUAUAUGUGUAUUUUAAGUCAUUUGCUUCCACCCCCAACAGUAUCCCUGUCUAUUAACAGAAUGAGGGAGAGAAAGAGAGAAAAAGAGAGAUUGGGACAGAACCAAAAAGAGAGAUUUCCAGGAAAGGAAGAAAGUUAGAUAGCUCUCCCCAACCCCCUCCCACCCUUACCACGAAAAUACCGUCUGGGAUUAAACUCUAUGUGAAGAUUAGAGGUGUGGGAGAGACAUUAGGAGAAACUGUUUCUCACGUCAAGAACAGGAGGAAGCACAACGCCUAUAUGAGAACACCGGAAACGACAAAUUACACACACAGAGUGAGCCAGUCCAUCAGAAGAAGAGGGAUCAGCCAGGGAGCCAAGCGGGAAAGGGCAGUCUUGCAGCCACACCCAGCAUUGCCCUUCCCAGCACCGUCCAGGAUGCGACGGGACUUGGACCCUCAGACACACCCCACGUGGCCUGACCCUGGGAGUAUGUGUGCCCUUUUGUGGAAAAAUGCACAAGGCCUGAGGCCUCAUGCUUAUGGCACCUCUUGCUUUGUGUCUCAAAGAGCAAUCUUGCCUCGCCUUCUCCUGCAGGUGGAGGGGGGUUGUCCAUGCAGGCCACUGUCCCUGCCCGACGCCUCCACUUUCUCAAAGGAAAUUGGGACACAGAAAACCCCUAGGUCUCUUGCUGCAAGUAUGACCAAUUUUGAAGUCACUGCUGCCCCGAUUCUUUUAGAAGCUUGGAUGAGAAAACUCUUCUAUCCCCAAUUUUCUGAAGGAAAUCUGAAAUUGAUCUUCAUCUCUGCACUAAUUUGGCACCUCAUAGCAGUGCCCGGGGAUAGCGCACCCUGUAUUAACCACCCCCUUCCGGCACACCCUCCCCUACUUGCACCCUGGGAUUGCUUUUAGUCAAGUGUUUCAGGAGAUGAAAUCAGCCUGCACUGAGAAGCAAUGUAAGGAACUACCUUGCAAAACUUGUCACUGGCUGUGUUUAGCGUAAAGACGGUGUUUCAUUUCAGCCAUUAUGUCCUCUCUAUGAGAAUUCAGGGGCUGCGUUUCUCUUUAGUCUCAGAAAUAGUCAUUUUUAUUGAGGGGCACUCAAUUUUUUAUGUGGAAGAAUUUGUUACUUUAUAUGGUUGCUUAAAAGCUUAGCACCACAUGGCAUAUCUUUUCUGUAUCAACCUCACCUCUGGUUUUAGAAUCUUUGUCUUCAUUUCUCUUGGCCUCAUCUUUUCAUUUCUUGUUUUCAAUUGGUUUUAUCUUGCUAAGGUGUAUGUAUCCUUACAAGCUGCCCUAAAUCUUUCGAUGAACAAAACCAGAGGUAAAUAACUAAGGUAUCCACAAGUUAUAUGUUCUACUUAUCUAAUAAUAUCAUGGCGGUGAUCUGGCUUUCCACGGAGAAUUUUCUAGAAGGAGAUAAUAUACUCAUCAGAGAGCUCAAGGAUCUCACCCGGCAGAUUGAGUUCUUAGUGCACAUUAAUAAAUGGACACUUGCGUUCAUGUAAGGGUCUCUUGUGGGCUUAGUGAUGGUGUGUCCCUCUCUGAGAAUGCCUGUCUUGCACUGUUUAUUCCCGCCACUGCUGAACACUAGACAUAUUAAUCCUCUUCCACUCCCUUGAACACAGCAAACUCUUUCCUUCAUCAGGGACUUUGCACAUAUAAAUUAUCUCUGCUCGGAAUGUCCUUCCUCCUUUUCUCUCCACACCCCUCUUUCUCAUCAUUAGAGCAGUAGCGGCACAUUAGAAUGAUUGAGGGUGUGUGUGUGUGUGUGUGUGUGUGUGUGUGUGUGUCUUAUUAAUACCCGGGCUCCAAAUGAGACAAAUUAAACUGAAAUCUCCAGGGGUGGAGCCUAGGUACUGGCAUUUUUUAAAAGCUUCUCAGAUGAUUCUAAUUUUUAGCCAGGACGGAGAAUCACAGCUGUAGGUCUCAGCUUAAAUGUUAGCUUCUUACAGAGGCCCUCGUUGGCCACCUCUAGGACACAGACAUUGUCACGCUCUCCAGCUCACCUUCUUCCCUGAUUCCUUUGUAAUAAUCACUACAAUUUGUAAUUGUUGCAUAUAUUUGAAUGUUUUUGUCCCUCAUCCUCCACCCCUCAAGUAAGACAUAGGUGCUGUGAGGACAGAAAAUAUAUCUGUCUUGGUCUUUGUGCUUUUCUUCUUGGUCUUUGUACAGUGUCAGGUGCAUAACAGGAUUCUGAGUCUACAAUGAUGAGGAUGACCCUCAAAUAAUACUACUGUUGUGUGGGGCCUCCUGGAAGCCAGUGAGGCUCCCUGGAAUAUUAUGAGAGAAUCCAUAUCGAUGCUCAGUGGCUAUUUUACUGCCAAAAUGGUUCCACACACUUUCCUCUUCCCUGACCCCUGUGUGCCAGGAUUUUUUCAAGUGAGAUCUAUAAAUAAAUCCUCAUUUGGAGCAUCUCUUUUAUGUCUGUGUCCUCCUUUAUUUGAUUUUGACCAUUGUAAGUGAGAGAUUCCAACUUGUUCAUCUUUGUGUUCCCACCCUACUCCAGUACCCGGCACUGAAUCUUACACAUAGCGGGGCUCCAUAGCUAUUUGUUGACUUGAAUGGAGUUGACUUUAUCUUUAUGGCAUGUAGAUAUUCUGACCAAGAUUUCACCCUGGGCAGUAGCAUUUAUGACUAUCCAGAGAUUUGAGGCAUGGGGGAUUGUGAGCACAUCAUGAAAGUUAAAUUUGUUGGUCUAGGCAACUUCACCAUAAUCUAAAUGCAGAUGGUCUCUACACCUGGAUUGCACAGAAGGACAAAACAAGUAAAUUUGUGUUUGGAGGCAGAUAAUGAAACUGUGAGGAGUCUGAAAACAACUCAGUGACCUACCUCAUAACACAGGUGCUGGUCCAAAAAAGGAUAAAUUCAUUGUGGGGCUGCUUGAGCUUUCGAUAUGGCUGAGUCAGUUCUUUCUAAAUUAUUAUUUGAUAGUUAUUAAUAAAUCAAAGCAAACCAUCCACCUACUGUUUUCCCUCCACAGUUAGUAUGUUCACCAAGUUGACGUUUAUGUUCUAAGGUACUUUUUUCCUAAGCUUAAAUUAACUAAGACCGGUUAGAGGAGUGGACAUUUUUUUCCCCCUUUCUUCUGCUUUAUUUCAUUUCCUUAAGGAAUCAUCUUGGUUUUUCACUCUUCCUUUCCUCAGUUUUACGUAGGUGUUGUGUUGGUGGGAAAUGGAAAGGCCUCUUAUCUGGGAAAGUUUUCAUAUUGUCAUGGAGAGAAAUGCAUGUGCGCGUGCGCGCACGCGCGCGCGCGCGCGCGCACACACACACACACACACACACACACACGCUCUCAUAAACCCACACAAAUGAAAUCCCCUCUUCAGAGGAGCCAGCUACAGGAAAUUGACUUAUGCACAGGAACUUGCUAAUCUCUAUUGUCACAUUCGGAUUGUUCCUGCCACCUCAGUCACCACGCACACUAAACCCAACCAUCUUGGGUUGGAUUCUCUACCAGCUCAACUCUUAUAGUGUUGGUUCUUCCAGUGUGAAUCAGCUAUAUCCUUGGGGAGGAAGGAAAAGAUCCCAGAGGAAUUUAUAACAGCGCUUGGGCAGCUUUUGCUUUUACUUACCUGCACUGAACAAAUUAACUUCCGGAGUCAGUCAUUUUGGUGUCAAGAAAUUUCUUUGGCAUUCUACAACAGGUCCAUUAGUUUCUCCUAAAGGGAGAAAUUCCACUGAAAUCAAGCCCAUCAGCCUUCCACACUGACUAUGGGACCCACAACGGCUCUUUUGUGGGUACAUGUGACACGCCGACUGGAGAUGAUCUCUCAUGUCUAUAUAGGGUAUUGCUCUAACAUGGACUGGAGCCCCUCCCCUCCCCUCUCCCAGCUCCAUAUUUAGCCAUCUGCUGAAGGCUACAUGUGUCAUCAAAGUUUAUCAUCUGCCUUUACUGCUAUGGAGUAAUACAGAGGUUUACGUUCUUGUUUUCACCGAGGCAGUUCCCGAAGUGGCUGGGGUCCAUUAGAAACUGAAGCUGCUGUCUGCUGCCUUCUCCACUUCUUGGAGCAGAAGCCAAAAGAGAGCUGUUUGAAGACGCCACAUUCACACAUCAGUUGAAGACUAGCCGUUGAAGGUUUUCAACGUAGAUUGUGUCUCCCUCGGAUGGACGAGGAGAAUUGCUGUCAGGGGUCCUGAGAAACCCCAUCUGGUUUUCAUUCCUUGUGUUGAAUGGCAUUUGCUUCAACAGCCCACUGAGGGCCCUUUUACUUGGGAUUCUGAACUUGUAACCCAGAAUCCAGGCUGGGAAGAUG